rnacentral:lncRNA from 1 species
CCGAGGUAACGCGUGGAGAGAGAGAUAGAGAAUUGCCACCGUCGAGGAGAGCCGUCGGGGAGAGCCGUCGAGACACCGAGAGAGACGCCUCGAUUCUUCCCCGAGGAGAGAUGCAGAAUCAGACACCGAGAGGUGGAGGAGGGCAAGAGAGACGCGGAGAUGUCGAUCUAAACGAGAUCCUCCAACACAGACGCCGAACCCAUCGUUGCGACUUCGAGAAAGACCAGUGGAUUCAACGAGGAGAGGUUGAGCGACGCCGAG